rnacentral:tRNA from 1 species
UCCCUGGAGGACUAGUGGUUAGGUUUCAGGGCUCUCACUGCCGCGGCCCGGGUUUGAUUCCCGGUCAGGGAA